GUUGCAUGCCUCAUUUGGUACACAUUUCCAUUCCAAAGGCUGUUGUUCUGCUCAUUGUUUGUACUUAAGGAAUGUUCCAGAAUAGUGUGAAGAAUUGGAGAUGUGCUGAAACUGUGCACCCAUAAAAUCUGCUUGGUUUUCACGACUAUCUCCCUCAGUAAUUACCAAAGGUAAUGGGUUUGACUGCUGGUCUUUUAUUCUAUUAACUUUAUUUCAUACAUUUCACUUGUCUGUGUAAGAGUUUAUACCAGAGAUAUUAUUGCCAACUUUCUCUCCUAGCCUGUUGACACAUCCUUUACAUGCUUUAAAUUAAUUAAGUUUUCCACAGUUGGAGAAUCAUAAAGGAGUCCCCACACUUUGUUUUGCUGCUUGCAUGCUUUCUUAUAUUCUUCUUUCAACAUUGAAACUCGUCGUUUGGUGCCACUCCUCUUAUUUGUGGAAUGCAUAUGGAUAUAAUAAAGAAAGCUGUGAAGUAUGCAACAUCAUCAUCUACGCUUAGGGUGCAGAUGUCAUCCCGCAACAAAUGCACAAGUUCUUGGAAGAACUUCCAGUUGGCCGAUUAGACUUUCCAUCGACGAAAAUGUGGCGAGCAUUUAUCCUGUUUUGUUGUGUUCAGCACUAUAGGAAAGUGGUCGCUGCCAUAGGGAUCUUUAAUAACAUUCUACUGGAGGUACGUCAUAAGCGCUGGAGAUGCCAUGCUCAAAUCCAUGGAAGUGUACGUUUUGUAAGCAGUACUGUAUGUUGGUUCCUUGUUAUUUAGCAGGCACGCCCCAGUGGGAAGAAAAUUUUCAAUUAAUCGGCCUCUCGCAUCACAGCGAGAGUGCCCCUAAAGAGAGCUGUGAGCAUUUAAAUCUCCAAGGACGACAUAGGGUUCAGGCAGCUCAUCUACUAAGGCCUCAAAUUCUUGUUUGUGGAGCUGAUAAUGAGGGGGCAUGUAGAGAGAGCAGAAAGUAACGAGUUUAUUUAAAAGCACAGCUCGAACUGCGACUGCCUCAAGGGCAGUUUGGAGUUCUAAGCAUUGCGACACAAUACUUUUAUCAAGUACGAAUGCAACACUGCCAGACAAUGCAGUAGCCUUAUCGUGGCCUUUAUGAAAAAUAACAUAUUAGCGGAGAAAGUUUGUAUGCUUAGCUCUUAAGUGGGUUUCCUGUACACACAGCACCUUUGGACCGAAUUUGUGGAGUUCUUGACCAUCAUUGAGGUUGUGGAGGAGACUUCCAACCUUCCAUUGUAUGAGUGUGUCCAUAUUGAAAAUAAAAUUGGGCUAUGUAUGUCAAAAAAAAAAAAAAAAGUCAAUUUAUCCUACAGAGCCCUUUUGGGACCCUGUAAUUCGGUGCUUUUCUUUCUUUUUUUUUUUGAAUGGUUGAGUGAAUCGCACUGCUCCUUAGGCGCUGGCUGCGCCAUACGACUGGGUGUUAUGUCCAUUGCCUCUUGCGUGGAACGCUGGACAUACGCUCCUGCAAGUGGUGUGUUUGCUGUGACAGCCUUGCCUUAGACUGAGCUGCACUGGCUGCUACCAGCACUAGCUGAGGCCCCCACAGUAGGAGCAGCCUUGGCUGCUCUUACCGUAGGGGCAGGUGGUGGUGCCACAUCCUCGUUGCGCAUGACGUGGGUGAACGCCAAGUGCCGUUGUGGUGCUGCCCCCUGAUGCACCACUUAGGCGAAUGAUGUACUCUGCAAAUGUUGGUUAGAUACAAUGUCACGCUUCUCUGAAAGUUAUGUGUUAUUUUACUCUUAUCAUGAUUAUUUCUUUCUUUCUUCCAGACUAUGCAGGGUGGCCAUCAUUGCAACUGAUGCAAUGUGGCUCAGCAUCACAGUCGUGAGCAGAAUGCUCUUUAAUGCUGCAUUUGCGCAAAAAUGAUGGGUGAAAAACACAAUUUCACAGGAGAGAGUAAUAUGGCACUAUAAGAAUGGGAGCAAAGAGCAUUUCAUACCUCACUCAGCCGAUCUGUGAGUAUGGCUACUAUUUCAUCUCUAGAAUAGGGUGCAAAAUGAAGCAAUGUUGGUUGACAGCCAUAGGCUUGCAGGUGUGGCAGGACACGAUCUGUGAGAUCCAAGGCAUUUGCAAUUCCUGGGCACACAAGCAGAACCUCAUCAGUAACGUUCCAGAGAAAACAAGAUUGAUAUCUGUAUACAAGACCGACAGAAAAGCCUUCGCAGCACAGCGUGCAGAUUUUCGCACGGGAAGCUGAAGAACGGACUGGGUGGAAGGCAUGCCGGCAGACUGCGAUCGUCA